GAUGUACAAGGUGAGAUAUAAUUCUACAUUGUUAUUAAGAAUUUAGAGUUGGAUUAUUAUUACUCUAUUGAUGGGACUACAUAGAAUGUUAAGAUGCGUUACCUAGACAUUUGAUGGUGAAUAGAAGUUAUGAGGUUGUAGUAUACAGAAUAAUUUGAGUGACCAAGAAUUUUCCUAAGUGUUGGCAUGAGGUAUGUGAUGGUUUAGAAUGGUAGCUAAAGCAUGGUAUGUGGAAGUGGUGUGAAGUUGACUUUGG
rnacentral:lncRNA from 1 species